rnacentral:rRNA from 1 species
GGGUUGUGAGGUUAAGCGACUAAGCGUACACGGUGGAUGCCCUGGCAGUCAGAGGCGAUGAAGGACGUGCUAAUCUGCGAUAAGCGUCGGUGAGGUGAUAUGAACCGUUAUAACCGGCGAUUUCCGAAUGGGGAAACCCAGUGUGUUUCGACACACUAUCAUUAACUGAAUCCAUAGGUUAAUGAGGCGAACCGGGGGAACUGAAACAUCUAAGUACCCCGAGGAAAAGAAAUCAACCGAGAUUCCCCCAGUAGCGGCGAGCGAACGGGGAGGAGCCCAGAGCCUGAAUCAGUGUGUGUGUUAGUGGAAGCGUCUGGAAAGGCGUGCGAUACAGGGUGACAGCCCCGUACACAAAAAUGCACAUAUUGUGAGCUCGAUGAGUAGGGCGGGACACGUGGUAUCCUGUCUGAAUAUGGGGGGACCAUCCUCCAAGGCUAAAUACUCCUGACUGACCGAUAGUGAACCAGUACCGUGAGGGAAAGGCGAAAAGAACCCCGGCGAGGGGAGUGAAAAAGAACCUGAAACCGUGUACGUACAAGCAGUGGGAGCCUCUUAAUGGGGUGACUGCGUACCUUUUGUAUAAUGGGUCAGCGACUUAUAUUCUGUAGCAAGGUUAACCGAAUAGGGGAGCCGAAGGGAAACCGAGUCUUAACUGGGCGUUAAGUUGCAGGGUAUAGACCCGAAACCCGGUGAUCUAGCCAUGGGCAGGUUGAAGGUUGGGUAACACUAACUGGAGGACCGAACCGACUAAUGUUGAAAAAUUAGCGGAUGACUUGUGGCUGGGGGUGAAAGGCCAAUCAAACCGGGAGAUAGCUGGUUCUCCCCGAAAGCUAUUUAGGUAGCGCCUCGUGAAUUCAUCUCCGGGGGUAGAGCACUGUUUCGGCAAGGGGGUCAUCCCGACUUACCAACCCGAUGCAAACUGCGAAUACCGGAGAAUGUUAUCACGGGAGACACACGGCGGGUGCUAACGUCCGUCGUGAAGAGGGAAACAACCCAGACCGCCAGCUAAGGUCCCAAAGUCAUGGUUAAGUGGGAAACGAUGUGGGAAGGCCCAGACAGCCAGGAUGUUGGCUUAGAAGCAGCCAUCAUUUAAAGAAAGCGUAAUAGCUCACUGGUCGAGUCGGCCUGCGCGGAAGAUGUAACGGGGCUAAACCAUGCACCGAAGCUGCGGCAGCGACACUAUGUGUUGUUGGGUAGGGGAGCGUUCUGUAAGCCUGUGAAGGUGGCCUGUGAGGGUUGCUGGAGGUAUCAGAAGUGCGAAUGCUGACAUAAGUAACGAUAAAGCGGGUGAAAAGCCCGCUCGCCGGAAGACCAAGGGUUCCUGUCCAACGUUAAUCGGGGCAGGGUGAGUCGACCCCUAAGGCGAGGCCGAAAGGCGUAGUCGAUGGGAAACAGGUUAAUAUUCCUGUACUUGGUGUUACUGCGAAGGGG